rnacentral:rRNA from 1 species
UACGUAGGGUGCAAGCGUUGUCCGGAAUUAUUGGGCGUAAAGAGCUCGUAGGCGGUCUGUCGCGUCGGCUGUGAAAUCCCGAGGCUCAACCUCGGGUCUGCAGUCGAUACGGGCAAACUUGAGUGUUGCAGGGGAGACUGGAAUUCCUGGUGUAGCGGUGGAAUGCGCAGAUAUCAGGAGGAACACCGGUGGCGAAGGCGGGUCUCUGGGCAACAACUGACGCUGAGGAGCGAAAGUGUGGGGGAGCGAACAGG